GAAUUCCUAGUGUAGCGGUGAAAUGCGUAGAGAUUAGGAAGAACACCAGUGGCGAAGGCGAUUCUCUGGACUGUAACUGACGCUGAGGCACGAAAGCGUGGGUAGCAAACAGGAUUAGAUACCCUGGUAGUCCACGCCGUAAACGAUGAGUACUAGGUGUAGGAGGUAUCGACCCCUUCUGUGCCGCAGUAAACACAUUAAGUACUCCGCCUGGGAAGUACGAUCGCAAGAUUAAAACUCAAAGGAAUUGACGGGGGCCCGCACAAGCAGCGGAGCAUGUGGUUUAAUUCGAAGCAACGCGAAGAACCUUACCUGGACUUGACAUCCCCUGAAUAACCUAGAGAUAGGCGAAGCCCUUCGGGGCAGGGAGACAGGUGGUGCAUGGUUGUCGUCAGCUCGUGUCGUGAGAUGUUAGGUUAAGUCCUGCAACGAGCGCAACCCUUAUUGUUAGUUGCUAACAUUCAGUUGAGCACUCUAACGAGACUGCCGCGGUUAACGCGGAGGAAGGUGGGGAUGACGUCAAAUCAUCAUGCCCCUUAUGUCCGGGCUACAC
rnacentral:rRNA from 1 species